rnacentral:rRNA from 2 species
GGAUGCGAUCAUACCAGCACUAAAGCACCGGAUCCCAUCAGAACUCCGAAGUGAAGCGUGCUUGGGCGAGAGUAGUACUAGGAUGGGUGACCUCUUGGGAAGUCCUCGUGUUGCAUCCC